AUUGAACGCUGGCGGCAGGCCUAACACAUGCAAGUCGAACGGUAACAGGAAGAAGCUUGCUUCUUUGCUGACGAGUGGCGGACGGGUGAGUAAUGUCUGGGAAACUGCCUGAUGGAGGGGGAUAACUACUGGAAACGGUAGCUAAUACCGCAUAACGUCGCAAGACCAAAGAGGGGGACCUUCGGGCCUCUUGCCAUCGGAUGUGCCCAGAUGGGAUUAGCUAGUAGGUGGGGUAACGGCUCACCUAGGCGACGAUCCCUAGCUGGUCUGAGAGGAUGACCAGGCAAACUGGAAAUGAGACACGGUCCAGACUCCCACGGGAGGCAGCCGUUGGGAAUAUUGCACAAUUGGCGCAAGCCUGAUGGAGCCAUGCCGGGUGUAUGAAGAAGGCCUUCGGGUUGUAAAGUACUUUCAGCGGGGAGGAAGGGAGUAAAGUUAAUACCUUUACUCAUUGACGUUACCCGCAGAAGAAGCACCGGCUAACUCCGUG
rnacentral:rRNA from 1 species